GGGGAGGUGCCAGAGUGGUUGAUUGGGGCCGCCUGCUAAGCGGUUGUGCCUGAAAGGGUACCGCAGGUUCGAAUCCUGUCCUCCCCG
rnacentral:tRNA from 1 species